rnacentral:snRNA from 1 species
GGUUGUGAGGGUGCUCUGUGACAUUUGUCACCCCAUCGAUCGCCAGGACUGAUGUGGCUGAUCUGGCUGGUUAGGCGGGUGUCCCCGUCCUCCCUCACCACUCCAUGCGUCCCUUCCGAAGAUGUGUGCUUGGUCAAAGAGGGCAGCCUUCCCCGAGAGAGGAGGACUGUUGUGCGGUCAAGAGCAUAUGAGUAGCUGUGCUCCCCUGCUGGCACCUCCAGACAAGCUCUCAAGGUCUGUUUGUAGGAGAAUACAGGGUAGUCGAGCUUCUAAGACUCCAGACAUAUUCAAAUGAGGUGCUGCACGUGGCAGUCUGCCUUUCU